rnacentral:rRNA from 1 species
CUACUCGUUUUUUGGGCUCUCGGGCUCAGAGACCAAGCGAAAGUGAUAAGUUAGCCACCUGGGGAGUACGUUCGCAAGAAUGAAACUCAAAGGAAUUGACGGGGGCCCGCACAAGUGGUGGAUUAUGUGGUUUAAUUCGAUGAUACGCGAGGAACCUUACCAAGACUUAAAUGGGAAAUGACCGGUUUAGAAAUAGACCUUUCGCAAGACAUUUUUCAAGGUGCUGCAUGGUUGUCGUCAGCUCGUGCCGUGAGGUGUUAGGUUAAGUCCUGCAACGAGCGCAACCCCUGUCACUAGUUGCUACCAUUAAGUUGAGGACUCUAGUGAGACUGCCUACGCAAGUAGAGAGGAAGGUGGGGACGACGUCAAAUCAUCACGGCCCUUACGUCUUGGGCCACACACGUAAUACAAUGGCCGGUACAGAGGGCAGCUACACAGCGAUGUGAUGCAAAUCUCGAAAGCCGGUCUCAGUUCGGAUUGGAGUCUGCAACUCGACUCUAUGAAGCUGGAAUCGCUAGUAAUCGCGCAUCAGCCAUGGCGCGGUGAAUACGUUCCCGGGCCUUGUACACACCGCC